rnacentral:rRNA from 1 species
GAUGAACGCUGGCGGCGUGCCUAAUACAUGCAAGUAGAACGCUGAAGGAAGGAGCUUGCUCUUUCCGGAUGAGUUGCGAACGGGUGAGUAACGCGUAGGUAACCUGCCUGGUAGCGGGGGAUAACUAUUGGAAACGAUAGCUAAUACCGCAUAACAGUAGAUGUUGCAUGAUAUCUACUUAAAAGGUGCAAUUGCACCACUACCAGAUGGACCUGCGUUGUAUUAGCUAGUUGGUGAGGUAACGGCUCACCAAGGCGACGAUACAUAGCCGACCUGAGAGGGGGGUCCGCCCAACUGGGAACGGGACACGGCCCAAGACUCCUACGGAGGGAGCAGUAGGGGAACUUUGGGAAAUGGCGGAAAUCCGACCCGGGAACGCCGCGGUGGGUGAGGAGGGUUUCGGAUCGUAAAGCUCUGUUGUAAGAGAAGAACGAGUGUGAGAGUGGAAAGUUCACACUGUGACGGUAUCUUACCAGAAAGGGACGGCUAACUACGUG